CGGCUAAUAGCGCCAGAUAACUGCUGCAGGGGAAGCAGGAAGGAGUCCCUGCUUCCCCACCAAACAGUCUCCAGGAGCUGUACUGCCUCCACAAUGAACUCCACAGGUAACUGUGUGAUUGUCAAUGUGAGUGUGACUGUCUGCCUGUGUGUGUGACUGUCUGCCUGAGUGUGUGUGUGUGUGUGUAUGACUGUCUGCCUGUGUAUGUGUGUGUCUGUGUGUAUGACUGUGUGUGUGUGUAUAUCUGCCUGUGUGUGUGUGUAUGACUGCCUGUGUGUAUGUCUGCCUGUGUGUGUGUAUGACUGCCUGUGUGUGUGUCUCUGACUGUGUGUGUGUAUGACUGUCUGCGUGUGUGUGUGUGUAUGACUGCCUGUGUGUGUCUGUGUGUAUGACUAUCUGCCUGUGUGUGUGUGUGUGUGUAUGACUGUCUGUGUGUAUGACUGUCUGCUUGUGUGUGUGACUCAUCCUGUGUGUAUGACUGCCUGUGUGUGUGACUGUCUGCCUGUGUCUGUGUGUGCAUGACUGCCCGUGUGUGUGUGUCUGUGUGUAUGACUGUCUGCCUGUGUGUGUGUAUGACUGUCUGCCUGUGUGUCUGUGUGUGUGUAUGACUGUCUGCUUGUGUGUGUCUGUCUGCCUGUGUGUGUAUAACUGUCUGCCUGUGUGUGUGUGGCUGUCUGUGUGUGUGUGGCUGUCUGCAUGUAAGUAUGUGUGUGUGUAAGACUGUAUGUGUGGCUGUGUGUGUGUGUGUGUGUCGGCCUGUAAUUCUGUGUGAGUGUGUUUAUCUACCUGUAACUGUGUAUGUGUGUUACUGCCUGUAACGGCACCCCCAGGCAUAAAACGGUUAAACCGCCAUUUAGAAGAUCUUCCCCUUCCAGAGACACAGGCAGCUACUGUAGACACCAUUCCACCGAACCGGAGAAGCAUAUGAAUGCUCUCAAACAUACAAAUGCUGUAAACAGCCGAAUAGGAAAAACCAUACGAAUAGGUUUACACUCCUAGCAGUCGAACUGGAACAGCAUACAAUAAAUCCCCCCAAGAACGAGACAGGGCUCCGUUUUGGGGGUCAAGCAGGAACAGACAGAGCUGUGGGUUUAUUAUUCUUAUAUACACAUUCUUACACAUUAGUACCACCCACAGGGUUUUGUAAAACAACCAAUAAACACGUACAAUACACUCAGACACUCCCACACAAAAGCCUCCCCUCUACCUGUGAUACAAAUUACCUUACACAAUGGGUAAUGAAAUUAUCACAGUCAAAGAAAUACAGUUUUUCCACAUUAUUCAUAACUUUAAAAGUAUGCAUCACAUUGACAUACAUUUUCAGAAUCAGCAUACUUCAAAUACAAACAUAUGUCAAAAAUUGGUCCAGUGGGUCAAAAGUUAGAUCAAAGUCCUUUGUGACCAAAUGAAGCAUGGCUUUUCUGCCCAAAACCAGUUCCACAGAGAUAAUCCAAUUAUCUCCAAGGACAGAGGCAAAACUCUGUUAGCCACAUGGUAGCAAAAGACAAUAAAAUACAUAAAAAUAUAUAACUGUGCAGCUUUUGCAUAAAACAGGUACAUUCAACAUAUCCCCAGAUAGCUUAGAUCUGAGUGCACAUUAUUACUGAAUGGCGCUCAGAUCACAUACAUACAUUUCAAUUGCCAUGGAGUCAAAGUAUUUCGUUAUACGAAUGGGUUCCAAUGCAUAGCUAUCUGGGGUAUCACUGUUCAAAUAGGGCAAGUACCGAAUGACCCGGCUUUCGUGUCUUUGCAGGGGAAAAUCAAGCGUUUCAACAUGGGGCCAUAGUCUAAAGGCAGCAGGUGGGCAACCAGGCUCCUCCAAUGCACAGUGGCGAGAUUGGUCUCGUCACACUGCCUGUACCUGUGUGUUUCUGCCUGGUCCUGUGUAUGUGACUAUCUGCCUGCGACUGUGUGCAUGUGGUGGAUUUGACAGUGUAUAUGUAUAACUGUGGGCAUCUGACUGUGUGCACAUAACUCUGCAAAAAUAUACACCUGCAUUCACACACAGGCCUAAAUGCAUGUUUUUAUCUGAAUUAAAUAACCAUCACACACAGCCAAUAAACCCAGCACAAAUAUCACAUACAACCAAUACACGCAUAUCACACACUGUUAAUACACCCAUUACAAAUAUCACACACAGCCAACACAUGGCAUACAUAUCACACACACUCAUCACACCUACUAUCACAUACACAGACAACACAAAUAUUACAUCAAACAUGGAUGAAGGGGGGAGGGGAGGGCUGUGGAGAUUUUUCACACAGGGCGCCUAAAGGCCUAAGGCCGGCCCUGUGUGUGUCUGUGACAGUGUGUGUAUGUGUGUGUUAGAUACAUACACACAGAUACACAUUGACACACAGAUACACUCUGAUACAUACAAACACAGUUACACACACCUUAACACACAGACACAGACCGGCACAUACAAAAAAAAAACGGAGCAAUUUCGUUUUCUUUCAUUGUGGGUUUCCACAAUGUUGAUACACUAUGUCAAAGGGUUCCACUGGAAAAAUUAAUUGGGAACCCCUGGUCUAGAGAUUCAAAACUCUCUGGUCACAGGCUAAUUUACACAAAUCAGACCAUUAUAAACCUCCCCCCUCUUCCUCUCUGCAGCUUAUUCCUCCCACCUCUCCAUUUUCCCUUUUUUCCAUUUAUGUACAUAUUUGUAAAUACCCCUUGACACACAGAUACACACACACACUCAGUCAUAUACACACUGACACACAUAGGCACAUGAAAACACACUGAUAUACACUGGCACAUACACAGAUAAACUAUAGAAACAAGCAGGAUGGUCAAAAAAUAAUAAAAUGGAAAUAUUAUUAUAUAUACGGGCAGCUUCACACAGUGUAUGAGCGACUAAUAUGAAUAGACAAUAAAAGCAUAAAUAUGGUGUGAGCGCUCCUAACAAUAAG